rnacentral:SRP_RNA from 1 species
GCCGGGUGCGGUGGCAUGUGCCUGUAAUCCAAGUCACUGGGAGGCUGAGGUUGGUGGAUCAAGUGAGCUGAGGAGCUCUGGGCUGCAGCACGCUAUGUCGAACGGGUGUCGAACGGGUGUCCACGCCUAAAUUCGGUAUCGAUAUGGUGUUCCUGGGGGAGCCCGGGACCACCAGGUUGUCUAAGGAGGGGUGAACCGGCCCAGGUCGGAAACGAAGCAGGUCAAAUCCCCCGUGCUUUUCCAGUAGUGGGAUAAUACCUGUGAGUAGAUGCUGCAGUGCAGCCUUGGCAAAACAUCGAGACCUAAACUUUU